UACGAAGGGGGGCUAGCGUUGCUCGGAAUCACUGGGCGUAAAGGGCGCGUAGGCGGCCUGAUCAGUCGGGGGUGAAAGCCUGUGGCUCAACCACAGAAUGGCCUUCGAUACUGUCGGGCUUGAGACCGGAAGAGGUAAGUGGAACUGCGAGUGUAGAGGUGAAAUUCGUAGAUAUUCGCAAGAACACCAGUGGCGAAGGCGGCUUACUGGUCCGGAUCUGACGCUGAGGCGCGAAAGCGUGGGGAGCAAACAG
rnacentral:rRNA from 1 species